rnacentral:rRNA from 1 species
AGCUCCAAUAGCGUAUAUUAAAGUUGUUGCAGUUAAAAAGCUCGUAGUUGGAUCUCAGGUCCAGGCUUGCGGUCCACCUUGCGGUGGUUACUGCUCGUCCUGACCUACCUCCUGGUUUUCCCUUGGUGCUCUUGACUGAGUGUCUCGGGUGGCCAGAACGUUUACUUUGAAAAAAUUAGAGUGUUCAAAGCAGGCAAUUCGCCUGAAUAAUGGUGCAUGGAAUAAUGGAAUAGGACCUCGGUUCUAUUUUGUUGGUUUUCGGAACUUGAGGUAAUGAUUAAGAGGGACAGACGGGGGCAUUCGUAUUACGGUGUUAGAGGUGAAAUUCUUGGAUCGCCGUAAGACGAACUACUGCGAAAGCAUUUGCCAAGAAUGUUUUCA